rnacentral:rRNA from 1 species
UACAGAGGUCUCAAGCGUUGUUCGGAUUCAUUGGGCGUAAAUGGUGCGUAGGUGGCGCCGUAAGUCGGGUGUGAAAUUUCGGAGCUUAACUCCGAAACUGCAUUCGAUACUGCGGUGCUUGAGGACUGGAGAGGAGACUGGAAUUCAUGGUGUAGCAGUGAAAUGCGUAGAGAUCAUGAGGAAGACCAGUGGCGAAGGCGGGUCUCUGGACAGUUCCUGACACUGAGGCACGAAGGCCAGGGGAGCAAACGGG